AUGAACGCUGGCGGCGUGCCUAAUACCUGCAAGUCGAGCGAACGGACGAGAAGCUUGCUUCUCUGAUGUUAGCGGCGGACGGGUGAGUAACACGUGGAUAACCUACCUAUAAGACUGGGAUAACUUCGGGAAACCGGAGCUAAUACCGGAUAAUAUUUUGGACCGCAUGGUUCAAAAGUGAAAGACGGUCUUGCUGUCACUUAUAGAUGGAUCCGCGCUGCAUUAGCUAGUUGGUAAGGUAACGGCUUACCAAGGCAACGAUGCAUAGCCGACCUGAGAGGGUGAUCGGCCACACUGGAACUGAGACACGGUCCAGACUCCUACGGGAGGCAGCAGUAGGGAAUCUUCCGCAAUGGGCGAAAGCCUGACGGAGCAACGCCGCGUGAGUGAUGAAGGUCUUCGGAUCGUAAAACUCUGUUAUUAGGGAAGAACAUAUGUGUAAGUAACUGUGCACAUCUUGACGGUACCUAAUCAGAAAGCCACGGCUAACUACGUG
rnacentral:rRNA from 1 species